rnacentral:rRNA from 1 species
UACGGGGGGGGCAAGCGUUGUUCGGAAUUACUGGGCGUAAAGGGCUUGUAGGUGGCCAACUAAGUCAAACGUGAAAUCCCUCGGCUUAACCGGGGAACUGCGUCUGAUACUGGAUGGCUUGAGUUUGGGAGAGGGACGCGGAAUUCCAGGUGUAGCGGUGAAAUGCGUAGAUAUCAGGAGGAACACCAAUGGCGAAGGCAGCACUCUGGGACGUGACUGACGCUGAGACGCGAAAGCGUGGGGAGCAAACAGG